rnacentral:rRNA from 1 species
GUCUACAGCUAUGCUAUCCUGAAGAAGCCAGAUCCUGUCUAAUCUCAGAAGCUAAGCAGGAUCUGGCCUGGUUAGUACUUGGAUGAGAGACCCCCUACGAAGAUCAGAUGCUGUUGGUG